GCCUUUCGGGGUGGAUUAGUGGCGAACGGGUGAGUAACACGUGGGCAAUCUGCCCUUCACUCUGGGACAAGCCCUGGAAACGGGGUCUAAUACCGGAUAACACUCUGUCCCGCAUGGGACGGGGUUAAAAGCUCCGGCGGUGAAGGAUGAGCCCGCGGCCUAUCAGCUUGUUGGUGGGGUAAUGGCCUACCAAGGCGACGACGGGUAGCCGGCCUGAGAGGGCGACCGGCCACACUGGGACUGAGACACGGCCCAGACUCCUACGGGAGGCAGCAGUGGGGAAUAUUGCACAAUGGGCGAAAGCCUGAUGCAGCGACGCCGCGUGAGGGAUGACGGCCUUCGGGUUGUAAACCUCUUUCAGCAGGGAAGAAGCGAAAGUGACGGUACCUGCAGAAGAAGCGCCGGCUAACUACGUGCCAGCAGCCGCGGUAAUACGUAGGGCGCAAGCGUUGUCCGGAAUUAUUGGGCGUAAAGAGCUCGUAGGCGGCUUGUCACGUCGGAUGUGAAAGCCCGGGGCUUAACCCCGGGUCUGCAUUCGAUACGGGCUAGCUAGAGUGUGGUAGGGGAGAUCGGAAUUCCUGGUGUAGCGGUGAAAUGCGCAGAUAUCAGGAGGAACACCGGUGGCGAAGGCGGAUCUCUGGGCCAUUACUGACGCUGAGGAGCGAAAGCGUGGGGAGCGAACAGGAUUAGAUACCCUGGUAGUCCACGCCGUAAACGUUGGGAACUAGGUGUUGGCGACAUUCCACGUCGUCGGUGCCGCA
rnacentral:rRNA from 1 species